UAAAGGUAUUCCGGUAGACGAUGGGGAUGCGUUCCAUUAGAUAGUAGGCGGGGUAACGGCCCACCUAGUCUUCGAUGGAUAGGGGUUCUGAGAGGAAGGUCCCCCACAUUGGAACUGAGACACGGUCCAAACUCCUACGGGAGGCAGCAGUGAGGAAUAUUGGUCAAUGGGCGAGAGCCUGAACCAGCCAAGUAGCGUGAAGGAUGACUGCCCUAUGGGUUGUAAACUUCUUUUAUAAAGGAAUAAAGUCGGGUAUGGAUACCCGUUUGCAUGUACUUUAUGAAUAAGGGUCGGCUAACUCCGUGCCAGCAGCCGCGGUAAUACGGAGGAUCCGAGCGUUAUCCGGAUUUAUUGGGUUUAAAGGGAGCGUAGAUGGAUGUUUAAGUCAGUUGUGAAAGUUUGCGGCUCAACCGUAAAAUUGCAGUUGAUACUGGAUAUCUUGAGUGCAGUUGAGGCAGGCGGAAUUCGUGGUGUAGCGGUGAAAUGCUUAGAUAUCACGAAGAACUCCGAUUGCGAAGGCAGCCUGCUAAGCUGCAACUGACAUUGAGGCUCGAAAGUGUGGGUAUCAAACAGGAUUAGAUACCCUGGUAGUCCACACGGUAAACGAUGAAUACUCGCUGUUUGCGAUAUACUGCAA
rnacentral:rRNA from 1 species